rnacentral:sRNA from 1 species
AGUUAAAAGAAGCUGUGCUAUUUAGUCAUUCUUAACAUUGUCCAACCUUUCAGUUUCAUUCAGUUGGAUAUAUAGAUAACAAAGGCUCAUCCGGUUUCCAUAACGAGUUGUAAUAACAUUUAACAUAAUCAAAUCAACCAUGGCGUAUCGGGAAAUAUUUACGACAAUCAUAGAUCUUUCAAUUUCGUUUCGAAAUAAUAUUAUUGUAAAUGUUUGUGUUUUAGAUUUCCGGGAAAUUAAAAUGCAUCCCCCGAUGAAUUAAUAGCAGUAUUGUAGGCUUAAAGUUUGGUUAUGCAAAUGUCAACAAUACGGUGUAUCGAUGUAUCUAUGUCGUAAUUAAAUGUCCGAAUUCAUAUGUAAUGUCAAUCCGUGCAUGCACUGGUCAAAGUCUAGUUUUACUUUCAAAAUUUUUUAUGAGUUCUUUCUCUUGAAUAUUUUUUCGGUUGUUCUGCUUCUUUUCAGUUACCUUGCACUUUUACAACGUUACCAAAUACAAUAAUCUAAGUAUAAGGUUGAAAACAUUUUCCGAGUACCAUGAGAUUUAGUGCAAAGUAUUUCUCAAUUAGUCUUUGUUAGUUAUCAUUUGUUCGUGAUUAUAUUAUUUCAUUUAAAAAGGACAAUUGUCUCCACAACUUAUUCUGGUAAUGUUGAAUGUUAAUGCAUUCCAUAUGACAAACUUCUCUAUCUCCGAAACAGUUAACUGGUUUCAAAUCCUAAGUGCAAUACCUUUUUUCAGAUUUGGUCAUUUUCAAGUUGACAUUGUUUGGACCAGAAUAUAUAAGAUAUGGAAGAAUCGUUCAUAUACUAACAUGGUGUUCGAGAAAAGUUUUGCAUCUCAUAAUCAUUAGGAAUUCAUUUAUAAUCAGCAAAAUUUCAUUGUUUGUAGUGUGAAACAUGUACUUAGAUUAUUUUUGCGUCGAAUCAUCACAAAAUCAAAACCUGUCAAAAAGUAUAAACAUGUUUAGU